rnacentral:tRNA from 1 species
GAAGCUGAACUGGCGAUGGCGCCAGGCCCCGCUGCUAACGGGUGCGAGCCGGGUCUCCGGCCCGAGGUUCGAGUCCUCCGGCUUCC